GGUUAUAGCUCAGUUGGUAGAGCGCUUACCUAGCAUGUGUGAGGCACUGGGUUCAAUUCUCAGCAUCA
rnacentral:tRNA from 1 species